rnacentral:sRNA from 1 species
AACCAAGAUGAACCCUCUUACAACCUUGGAACCCGUUUGAAACCUUCCGAGUCUAGCUUUUGCGGAAUGUUUGGAUGCUGGGAAGGUGCUCUUUUCUUCUGCGUUUUCCUCGCUCCCACGGAGCUCGCUUCAAGCUUUAUACCCGUCCUAUCUAUACAAAAUCCUUUCGUUACUGCAAUUGCGCCGCAUAUACGGAGUACAACUAGUAUCAUUUAAGCUUUUUCCCGGCUCAUCUGUUAAUGCACACACAACCUGCUUUUAUUUUAUUUCUCAUUUUAUAGUAUCUCUAUUUGUAUUUAUAUAUUUAUUCGGUGUCCGCUUUUUGCUUGCUCAACAAUUGAAGCAAUGGCUGAACCACGAAUUGAAGUCCCUGCAGAGAGCGGCGAUGUAGAUAUGGCUGGGCUUGAAGAACCCCCUGUUGAGGUCGCAGCACAGAGCCUCUCGACGACGGAACAGAAGCUGGUGGUGCCAAUGGGGAAGAAGCAAAUGCGUCAGCAUUAGAAAGCAAGGAAACCUCAUUUAUCGAGUACCUAAGAUCCCCGAUAGUGGAGUUGGUUGUUGGCAGAGGCGAUGACCAGACCACUCUAACCGCUCAUCAAGCCAUUCUUACAGCUAGCCCCUUUUUCAAAAACGCAGUCACCCAAUUCACCGAUGAUGGUCCUCGUCGAAUCGUACUGGAGGACGAGGUUUUAGAUACCAUUGGCUGUUUCCUUCAAUACCAGUACACGGGCGAAUACUUCCCAAGACGCCUUUCCGCGCCAUCGGACGCCCUUGAAACCGACCCUUCAAUUCCAGAAGUCGAUGACACUGGCGAUCAGCUGUUGAAGCAUGCGCGCAUAUACACCCUGACAGAGAAGCUCGGCCUACAAAAUCUCAAACAAUUAGCUCACAGCAAGAUCCAUCACAUCAACAGCACAGCGCAAGGAGAAAUCGCAUAUGCAAGAUAUGUGUAUGGCAACACCCCAGCGGACGAUAUCACUAUUCGGAAACCAGUUGCGGCCUUUUGGGCUACUAGGAGCCAUGUGUUGCGCCACAAGGCAGAGAAGGAGUUCAAGUCCAUGUGUUUGGAAUACCCGCAGUUUGGUUUCGAUGUGCUCAGCCUAGUGCUUGAUCAGAAGGAAAAGCGAAGUCAUGAUCGGCAGGCUGGAUCCCCAUCGGUCAAAGGCAGCGCUCGAAAGCGGGCAAGGAUGUAGCUCUAAACUAAACUAACCCUGUUUUCAUAUCAUGUAAAAGUUUAGGCAUUUUUUCGUCUUCAUUGUUAACUUUACUUGGCCUGCCCCCCGAGGCAAACCACCUCAUAGGUCGCUGUAAUCGGAGUGAUAUUUGCCAUGUUUCUAUUCAGAGAAAUGUGUCAUCGGUCUAAUUUAAUUCGAUUUGCAGCGCCAUUGCGAAACACUUGCUAGAUAAAUGCGCUGUCACCCAUUUACAUUUUUAAUAUUAAUCCA